rnacentral:lncRNA from 1 species
UUCCACUCUUGACCAGCUUGAAGAUUCUCUGCUCACUUUCGACAUUUUAAAUUGCCACCAUGCGAUGGACCUUUCAACUCCAGAGGAAAUUUCUUCCCUCGUGGUUUAUGGAAAUCAAUCCCAGUUAGUGCCUUCUCAUGGGUCUAGAAUUGAAGAUGCAACGGUGAACCUUUUCUUUGCUUUCUUGCCAGGAAAAGUAAAACAAAGAACUCUCUUUCGCUGCAAUUUUAUAAUAAUUCCACUCUUGACCAGCUGGAAGAUUCUCUGCUCACUUUCACCAUUUUAAAUUGUCACCAUACGAUGGACCUUUCAACUCCAGAGGAAAUUUCUUCCCUCGUUGUUUAUGGAAAUCAAUCCCAGUUAGUGCCUUCUCAUGGGUCUAGAAUUGCUGUUUCGACCCAAGAAGAUGGCAAGAGAUUCGAAUCUUGUCACCUUUUUACUGUUCGUAGCAUCGAUUUUGUUUUUUGUCAUACCCAUUUAUGGAGACAAUCCUCUGGAUUUGCUUUGCCGACCUGAAAAUGGCAAUUACACUUUUGGCAGUCCAUUCAGGAAUAACCUCGAACAGCUUCUGGGCAAUUUGGCUUCUAACACCGCAAAGAAAGGCUUCCACAGCAGUUCUGCAGGGGAUGGCACUGAUGAAGUUGUAUUUGGUCAAGCAC